rnacentral:rRNA from 1 species
GACAGAGGCCUCAAGCGUUAGGCGGAAUCACUGGGCUUAAAGCGUGUGUAGGCGGAUCGUUAAGGGCCUUGUGAAAUCCCACGGCUCAACCGUGGAACUGCUGGGCAUACUGGCGGUCUUGGGCCAUUCAGGGGCGACUGGAACAAGCGGUGGAGCGGUGAAAUGCGUAGAUAUCGCUCGGAACGCCGAAGGUGAAAACAGGUCGCUGGGGAUGUGCCGACGCUGAGACACGAAAGCCAGGGGAGCAAACGGG